GAGCGCUGCUAUGGCGUUCUUCGGACCCGCGGCUCCUCCUCACACUGUGCUCGAGGCGGAGGCUAGGAGAGGGCCGAGGAGGAGGAGGCGAGCGGCUGGCCGCCGCAAUUGCAGAGCCGGGGCCAAGGGAGACGGAGGCGGAGCGGGAGCCGCCGCAGCUAGCCGGGCCGCCUGUAGUGCUCUCCUGGCUUGAGGGCGCGGGGCGCCAGCCAUGCCUCGGUGUGGCUGCUGAAGCCGGGCGCCAGCGUCCCCGCCGCUGUGCCUCGCUGUCCGGCUGCCCGCGGCGGGAGUACGGAGUCCCCAGCCAGCCAGCGGUGGCGCGGGCGCCGGAGCGCGGGGCCGGAGGAGGCGGGGAAGAUGGACCCGUCGCCCUCGUUGGGCUGCAGCCUCAAGGAUGUGAAGUGGAGCCCAGUGGCUAUGCCGCUCGACCUGCUGGUCAGCACCUACCGGCUGCCCCAGAUCGCGCGGCUGGACAGCGCAGCCGUCGCCGCCGGGAGAGGUGCAAAUCAGAACCCUUGCAGUGCAGUUAAUAAGGACACCUUCCUUACAUCGUGGAAACCUACAGAUAGUAAUCUUGGACGCAAGAAUUACUCAAUCUGGGAAUCUUGAAGUUAUCUUAGGCAACUUUCUGACGAAAAUAAUUGGACUCUGGGUGGUAUCUUGCUUGGGGUGCUCUCUCCUACCCGCCCUCUCUGUGUUUACCCAGAAGCUGCAGAUUUCAGAGAAAA
rnacentral:lncRNA from 1 species